CAAUGUAAAAUGCUACAGUUGUUCCGAUACCGAUACCAGCGUCGGAAAUGUGUCCGAUCCUGCCCAAAAUUCGGGAUCGGGUAUCAGCGAGUAAGCCAGUCUAUGCACCGAUCCGAUACUAGGAUUUAUUAACCCAGAAACAAAUCAACAUGUUAAAACCGGAAAUCAAAUCUUCUUCGCCGCUCUAAAA